AGGGGAAGAAGCCUUCGUCGCCACUGGGGGAGGCGCCCCCCGAGAGCAGCCCCGAUGGGAAGCUUGGCCCUUCCGGGGAGCUCAUGGUGCCUUCGGCGUCUGUGGGCACAGGUGUCCAAGCCCAGCCCUACCGCGGGACCCAGUAGUCGCCGUCGUCCCAGCGCAGCGACGACCGGGGACCGGGAGUCUCCGUGACGAGGCCCCUGUGGGCGCGACCCCGCUCUGGAGACCCGGGAGCGUCCCUCCUCCUCCCGCCUCCCGCGCAUCGAGCUGCUGUCUAGCAUGUCGGCCCGGGCGUGUGGCCCCGCCCCCGGCUCCUCGACCCCCCGGCCCGAGGCGGCCACCUUCCCCCCUUGCCGGCGCCCCCCGCUUGCAGACCCCAGGACUCGGCACCCGCCACCCCCGGCGCCCGCUCGUCCUGGCCCUGUCCUGCCCGAAACUCGAAGGGUGCCCGUGUCCGGCGCCCCUAGGCUCCUACCCGCCGACUCCGGGCUCCCUCCGAGGUCCCCGCGGUCCCCGAUCCCCUCUUCCGGAGGCGGCGCCAGGUGCCAGGCCCGCACAGAAACGACAGGCCCCAUUAGUGGAGCACCUGCUGUAUGCAGACCCCACGCUGAGCAUGGGCGUCCGCUCCUUUCCCCUGACAAACCCGCCCUGUGGGAUAGGGAAUCGCUAAGAAUGACAACAGCAAGGACACAUCCGACCUACCGAGCACUCUGCUAAACGAGGACACUGAGGCUGAGGGAGGCUGUAGCUUGCAUGGGUUCACACCGACAGAACUUGAAUGUGAAGCACAGAAGUGUGACUUCAGGGCGUGUGCUCCUGCCCUGGUUCCCGUGGGGCUGGGAAGCUGGGGCUCUCCCUUUCGAGGUUGCAUGAGACUCGACCCCACGCUCCAGGCCAGGGCCAGAGGCCUCGGUAUGGACACCAGGAGGAUCCAGGGCCGGGCCCAGCCCAGUGCGGCCCAGACACGUGGGGGACGCUCUGGCCGCGGCCUCGUGUCCGGUCACGAGCCUCCUCAGGUGUCCGGGGCUCCCUGCGCCGCUGUGGCAGAGGCUCCUGGCCUGGGGAGCGGGGACACGCCCGGCGCUGGAGGAGCAGUGGGCUGGGAACUGCUCAACAGCAGACUUUCUGGGGAAACAGAAAGCCCCAGAUGGUUGCACGUGGCACUUUCUGGGGUAGAAGCGCUCCCUCCGUGGCUGAUGUCCAGCUACCGACGUGACAUUGUUGAGUGUGAAAUUCGGCCGAGAUGUGCAUUAUUGGCGUUUCUCAGCUGGUCCCAGCUGCGUCCCACGCCCCUCUGGCUGGCGGCCAGGACUCCUGGGUCCUGGGGACCGGAUCCUAAAGAAAUCAGAGGAAGGUGGCUUCUGAGAAAAACGGGGGGCAAGGACUCGUGGGAGGAGUGGCCUAGAGGCUGGGACUCCCGAGUCCCAGAUUUGGCUUCAGGCCAAAUCCCAGAUUGGCCGCGUUUUAGCUGUGCGCACCUGUGUCGUUUAGCUGAUGAACCUCCGCUGCCCUCGCCUUUCCCAUCUGUAAAACGGGGGAGAUAAGAGUUCCUAGCUUAUAGGGAGGCUUAAAUAAGGGUCAAGCGCCAGCACUUCAUCCUGCUAGGGGCCCUCUGAGUGGCCGUCGCCGGGCCAUAGAAGUGACUCACCACACACGUUCCAGUGUUUUCCUCCCCACGGCCACCCUGACGUCAUAUCCUUCGCAGACCAGAAGCCAGCUCAGGGAGGCCCAGUGAUCUGCCCGUGCAACUUGACAUCAUCAGACUUUUAAAUUUCUGCCAGUCGGGGGGCACCUGGUCACUCUUUGGACGUUUGCAGGAGCCCCCUGCUUCCUCUGGACCCAGGAAUUCUGGCCUCCAGCUGUCCUGAUGGACCGGAGGGCUGACUUCACAGGCCCCCCACUGCCCUCUCCCAGCCUCCCUGCUGAUUCCAGCAGGAAAAUGGAUAGCAGGGACAGAGGGGCCCCAGGGACGCCCUAGCCGGGCUGGGAUAUAACCAGUUAAGGGAGGGAAAGACAACCCAGCCCUCAAACAAGCCAGUUUCCUGGAGCCUCCGGGCUCACUCUCACCCUAGAACUUUCUCCCCACCUUCCCAACAGCAGGUGGGCCCCUACAGUGCCCAAUCUUGGCUCCAGGGUCCCCUCGCAGAGCUGUGGGCGGUCCACGCUGGCGUCCAGAGGCCCGAAGAAUGCCCCCUGCCAUAGAGGUAACCCCGUGGGAACGGCGCGGGUCCAGACCAAGGUGCCUCCGGGCUUUUACGACAUAUACAAAGUCUGAACAGUAAGUGGUAUUGUUUGGAGCAUUUUAAACCUCUGUAUAAAAUACUGCACACUCAAUA